rnacentral:misc_RNA from 1 species
AAGUCGUAACAAGGUUUCCGUAGGUGAACCUGCGGAAGGAUCAUUAAAGAGUUAGGGUCUUCUAGGCCCGAUCUCCCAACCCUUUGUCUACUCAACCCAUUGUUGCUUCGGCGAGCCCGUCUUUACGGACCGCCGGGGGACCGUCUCAGGUCCCCUGGCCCGCGCUCGCCGGUGGCCCCAGCAUUAAAUUCUUAAUUAAACGUGUCUUUACCUAAGUAUUACAUUAAAUUAAAAGCAAAA